GUCGGCCGAAGCACUCUCGCGAGAAGAGCCGUGCAGGCCGGAAAAAUGGCGCCUCCCGGUCCGCGAGAAUCUAAAGCACCGUUGGCGACGAGCGCUGCUAACUCGGAGGAGGAGAUGGUGCUGCCGGGCUUCCAGGACGCAGACAGCUUCGUGAAGUUUGCUCUUGGGUUAGUGGUGGCAGUCACGAAGGCGUCUGGGGGCCUACCACAGUUUGGCGAUGAGUAUGAUUUUUACCGAAGUUUUCCUGGCUUCCAGGCAUUUUGUGAAACACAGGGAGACAGGUUGCUUCAGUGCAUGAGUAGGGUAAUGCAGUACCACGGGUGUCGAAGCAACAUGAAGGAUCGAAAUAAAGUGACUGAGCUGGAGGACAAGUUUGAUUUACUAGUUGAUACCAAUGAUGUUAUUCUCGAAAGAGUGGGUAUUUUACUGGAUGAAGCCUCGGGUGUGAAUAAGAAUCAGCAGCCUGUCCUUCCUGCAGGAUUGCAGGUCCCCAAGACAAUAGUGUCCAGCUGGAACCGUAAGGCAGGAGAAUAUAGCAAAAAAACAAAAUCUGAAACGUUCCGACUACUUCACGCAAAAAACAUCAUCCGACCUCAGCUUAAAUUCCGAGAAAAGAUUGACAAUUCCAAUACACCAUUUCUUCCUAAAAUUUUCAUCAAGCCCAAUGCUCAGAAACCCCUCCCUCAGGCACUCUCCAAGGAAAGGCGGGAGCGCCCGCAGGACCGUCCCGAGGACCUGGAUGUGCCCCCCGCCCUGGCGGACUUCAUCCAUCAGCAGAGGACCCAGCAGGUGGAGCAGGACAUGUUUGCACAUCCUUAUCAGUACGAACUAGAUCACUUCACUCCGCCAGAUUCAGUCCUUCAAAAGCCACAGCCCCAGCUAUAUCGACCUGUAGGAGAAACACCCUGCCAUUUUGUAUCCUCCCUGGAUGAACUAGUGGAACUCAACGAAAAACUCUUGAAUUGUCAAGAAUUUGCUGUAGACUUGGAGCACCACUCGUACAGGAGCUUCCUAGGGCUGACCUGCCUGAUGCAAAUUUCCACCCGAACAGAAGACUUCAUCAUUGACACCCUGGAGCUUCGAAGCGACAUGUACAUUCUCAAUGAGAGCCUCACAGACCCAGCGAUUGUUAAGGUCUUCCAUGGUGCUGAUUCAGAUAUAGAAUGGCUACAGAAAGACUUUGGGUCGUAUGUAGUGAACAUGUUUGACACCCAUCAGGCUGCACGCCUUCUUAACCUGAGCAGGCACUCACUCGAUCAUCUGCUGAAACUCUACUGCAAUGUGGAGUCAAACAAGCAGUAUCAGCUGGCUGAUUGGAGAAUACGGCCUCUGCCUGAGGAGAUGCUCAGCUAUGCCCGAGGUGAUACCCAUUACUUGCUUUACAUCUAUGAUAAGAUGCGGCUGGAACUGUGGGAGCGUGGCAACGACCAGCCUGUGCAGCUGCAGGUGGUGUGGCAGCGGAGCAGGGACAUCUGCCUCAAGAAAUUCAUCAAACCUAUCUUCACUGACGAGUCCUACCUGGAACUAUAUCGGAAACAAAAGAAGCAUCUCAACACACAGCAGUUGACAGCCUUUCAGCUGCUGUUUGCCUGGAGGGAUAAAACUGCUCGUAGGGAGGAUGAAAGUUACGGAUACGUACUGCCAAACCACAUGAUGCUCAAGAUAGCGGAGGAGCUGCCUAAGGAACCGCAGGGUGUCAUCGCUUGCUGUAACCCUGUGCCACCCCUCGUGCGGCAGCAGGUCAAUGAAAUGCACCUUUUGAUCCAGCAGGCUCGAGAGAUGCCCCUUCUCAAGUCUGAAGUUGCAGCUGGAGUGAAGAAGAGCGGACCUCUGCCCAGCCCUGAGAGAUUGGAGAAUGUUCUCUUUGGCCCUCAUGACUGCUCCCACGCCCCUUCAGAUGGUUAUCCUGUUACCCCAGCCAACGGGCCUGUGGCAGUGCAGAAACAGGCAAGCCUCUUCCCUGACCAAAAAGAAGAGGAGGCCCUGCUGGAUGCCAGAUGCCUUAUCGCUACUGCUGUCAUCACGUUGUUUAACGAACCUAGUGCUGAAGAAAAUGGAAGAGGUCCAUUAACAGUUGCACAGAAAAAAGCCCAGAACAUAAUGGAGUCCUUCGAAAAUCCAUUUAGGAUGUUUCUGCCAUCACUCGAACAUCAUGCUCACAUUUCUCAGGCAGCAAAGUUUGAUCCAUCAUCGAAAAUCUAUGAACAUUAUGAAUAAGAAUAAGAAAACACCUUCCCUGGAUCCCCAUGAGAUGCUCCUGGGAGCCAGCGUGUUAAUUGUCUGUUAAAAGCCUUCUUCCCUCUGCAGGCUGCCCACCAGCACUGGUCUUGCACUAGGCAGCAAGAGGCGGGCUGGGCAGCUGAUGGGCCUUGGGCCUGCUGCUGGUAGUCAGCCAGCUGUUUUUAGAAAUGGGCAAUCAGGUGGAUUUUUUGCCUUCUCUCCUUCCCCCCCACCGGUUGUGGCACAUUGAACAGCUGUGCAUCCUUCACCGUGCAUAUGUUCCAUAUUACCCAGAUGUGUUCUGAUGCCACAGGUGAAUGCUUCAUAAAGGAGCACAUCAGACUUGCAGAAGUCCCACCUGAAUCCCAACUGCACCAUUCACUGUGUCCCCUUGGACAAGUUACUUAGAUUCUCUGAGCCUGUUUCUUGUCUCUGAAGCAGUGGUGAUGGUAAACCCUUUGUCCUAGGAUUAUGGAAGGGGCUAAGUGAGACAGUGGGUGUGAAAGCACCAGCCCAGUUGUGCUCUGUCCUUAUAAAUAAAGCUAGCAUGAGAUUUUAUUUUCCGUGUCAUCAGAUUUGGAAUUUAUGACUUAAAAUAUAUGUAGUUGUUAGGUUAGCAUGCCCUACAUCACCUCACUGAAAAAAUAAAACACUCCUCGGUGGCUGAAUUUUGGAGUUUUUCUGUUUUGUUUUCAUUGUAGAUCAGCAACCGUUGGAAGCUGGCAAGCCAGGUACAGGUACAGAAAGACUCUAAAGAAACUGCCAAGAAGAAGGCAGCUGAGCAAACAGCUGUGCAGGACCAGGCCAAGGAAGAGUGCAGAGCCCCAGCGGAACAGGCUGUGUCUGUCCGACAGCAGGCUGCC